rnacentral:rRNA from 1 species
GAUGAACGCUGGCGGCGUGCCUAAUACAUGCAAGUCGAGCGAACAGACGAGGAGCUUGCUCCUCUGACGUUAGCGGCGGACGGGUGGGUAACACGUGGAUAACCUACCUAUAAGACUGGGAUAGCUUCGGGAAACCGGAGCUAAUACCGGAUAAUAUAUUGAACCGCAUGGUUCAAUAGUGAAAGACGGUUUUGCUGUCACUUAUAGAUGGAUCCGCGCCGCAUUAGCUAGUUGGUAAGGUAACGGCUUACCAAGGCAACGAUGCGUAGCCGACCUGAGAGGGUGAUCGGCCACACUGGAACUGAGACACGGUCCAGACUCCUACGGGAGGCAGCAGUAGGGAAUCUUCCGCAAUGGGCGAAAGCUUGACGGAGCAACGCCGCGUGAGUGAUGAAGGUCUUCGGAUCGUAAAACUCUGUUAUUAGGGAAGAACAAAUGUGUAAGUAACUAUGCACGUCUUGACGGUACCUAAUCAGAAAGCCACGGCUAACUACGUG